AAGUAAACUUCGGGAGCCAACAUGGCGGCAUGUCGUCAGUGGUGUGCCGUGGAGAGCAAAGCUCACCACUAAAUAAGAAAAAAAAUUGAAGCAAAACUCCACCAUCGAAAAGGCACUCACACGACAGAUCCGGUCCGAUUGAUCCAUAUUCCACGGAAGGAAAGAAAGUAUUAAAACCAAUUUCGCCCUUCAUUAGCCCGAGAAGCUGCCAAAAAAAAGAGGA